ensembl:lncRNA
AACACCGCAGUGCAUGAGCACGUAGAAGAAGUUAAGCUGCUGGGGAGCGAACAAGGCUGGAGCCUCAGUGAUGCUGGUGGAUCAGAUAACUGCUGAAAGUUUUAAACAAACCAGAGCUCUGGCAGGACCUUGCUAGACACUUCAUCCAAACAUAUCAUCUUACAACUCUGAUAAAAGGAUCUGCUGGAUUUUCUUUUGGCUGAGAUAAGACAUUUGUAUUCAUUGAAACCAAUGUUAAUUGGCCUGGAAACAUCACGCUGCUGUGACUCAGCAGAGGACCUUUUUCUGGAGAGGCACUCCACCUGAGCUUUCCACCUCAGCAACAUGGACAUCACUGUAAUGCCAAGGCUCUCUUGCAUCAGCUUAUAAGAAAUCUCUGCAUUCCCUUUUGCUGCACUUUCUUCCUCUAUGCCCUUACCACAGAUCAGACUGGAUCCAUCCACACACCAUCUACACAGCACACUUCAGAGUAGAUCAGGUUGAAGCUGACAAGAUCUAGGUGGCUUGAAGCGGAGACAGAUAUGGUAUGGGUUUUUUUUGAGAGUGGCCCUGAUGACUGAUUUUGUGAGCUGGGAAGUGUAGGCAUGGACUUCAUCCAGAUAUUUAGAAGCCUCGUGUUUGGAGACCAAAUAUGGAACUGUUGCUUUUGUCUGAGUACAAUCAUUGUUUCAAUUAAAAUGUGGCUACUAUUAAAAUAAUAAUGAAUGGUU